rnacentral:rRNA from 1 species
UACAGAGGUGGCAAGCGUUGUUCGGAAUUACUGGGCGUAAAGGGCGCGUAGGCGGUUCGUUAAGUCCUGUGUGAAAUCCCCCGGCUCAACUGGGGAACUGCACAGGAAACUAGCGGGCUUGAGUUCGGGAGAGGGUAGUGGAAUUCCCGGUGUAGUGGUGAAAUGCGUAGAUAUCGGGAGGAACACCAGUGGCGAAGGCGACUACCUGGCCUGUUUCUUGACGCUGAGGCGCGAAAGCUAGGGGAGCAAACGGG